rnacentral:tRNA from 1 species
ACGCCUGUGGACACUCCUUGGAGAUCUACGGAUCAGGAGGUUGGGGGUUCGAGUCCCUCCGGGCGUG